rnacentral:rRNA from 1 species
CGUCAGGGAUGAACGCUAGCGGCAGGCUUAACACAUGCAAGUCGAGGGGCAUCGGGAGUAGCAAUACUUGCCGGCGACCGGCGCAAGGGUGCGUAACGCGUGAGCAACAUGCCCGUAUCAGGGGGAUAAUCCAUGGAAACGUGGUCUAAUACCCCAUAGUAAUUAUGUAAGGCAUCUUAUAUAAUUUAAAGCUUUGGUGGAUACGGAUUGGCUCGCGUGACAUUAGCUGGAUGGUAAGGUAACGGCUUACCAUGGCUACGAUGUCUAGGGGUUCUGAGAGGAAGGUCCCCCACACUGGAACUGAGACACGGUCCAGACUCCUACGGGAGGCAGCAGUGAGGAAUAUUGGACAAUGGAUGGAAAUCUGAUCCAGCCAUGCCGCGUGCAGGAAGACGGCCCUAUGGGUUGUAAACUGCUUUUGUAUGGGAGCAAUAAGGGCUACGUGUAGUCCGAUGAGAGUACCAUACGGAUAAGCACCGGCUAACUCCGUGCCAGCCGCCGC